UACGGGAGGCAGCAGCGGGGAAUAUUGCACAAUGGGCGAAAGCCUGAUGCAGCAACGCCGCGUGAGCGAUGAAGGCCUUUGGGUCGUAAAGCUCUGUCCUUGGGGAAGAAUAAAUGACGGUACCCUUGGAGGAAGCCCCGGCUAACUACGUGCCAGCAGCCGCGGUAAUACGUGGGGGGCAAGCGUUAUCCGGAAUUAUUGGGCGUAAAGAGUGCGUAGGUGGUUUUGUAAGCGCGGGGUGAAAGGCAAUGGCUCAACCAUUGUAAGCCUUGCGAACUGUAAGACUUGAGUGCAGGAGAGGAAAGCGGAAUUCCUAGUGUAGCGGUGAAAUGCGUAGAUAUUAGGAGGAACACCAGUGGCGAAGGCGGCUUUCUGGACUGUAACUGACACUGAGGCACGAAAGCGUGGGGAGCAAACAGGAUUAGAUACCCUGGUAGUCCACGCCGUAAACGAUGAGCACUAGGUGUCGGGGCCGCAAGGUUUCGGUGCCGCAGUUAACGCAUUAAGUGCUCCGCCUGGGGAGUACGCACGCAAGUGUGAAACUCAAAGGAAUUGACGG
rnacentral:rRNA from 1 species